AAAUUCAUGAAACUAAAAUUAAUUGGCGGCUUUUUAAAUAUUUUAGAGAAAUUUAUUCUGUAAAGGAUUUAACCCCAAAAUCUUACUUUUUUUUGUAUAAUAUACAAAAAUAUAUUACAUUUCAUAUACCUCUAUUUUUUGAUUAUUAAAUAAAUUAUAGCAUUUUCUAUGAUUGUUUAGAAGUAUUUUAGGGAAAGGUGUGGAUUAUAAAAAAGAUUGAAAUAAGUUUUAUUAAUUAGUAUUUAAUGAA
rnacentral:rRNA from 1 species